rfam:Gossypium arboreum cultivar AKA8401 contig_14903_9, whole genome shotgun sequence.
GGCCUAUUAGCUCAGUUGGAUAGAGCGUCAUGCUAAUAACGCAAAGAUCGUAGAUUCGAAACCUGCAAGGGCCA